UACAGAGGGGGCGAGCGUUGUUCGGAAUUACUGGGCGUAAAGGGCGCGUAGGCGGGAAUGUAAGUCGGGCGUGAAAUCCCCAGGCUCAACCUGGGAACUGCACUCGAAACUGCGUUUCUUGAGUAUCGGAGAGGAAAGCGGAAUUCCUGGUGUAGAGGUGAAAAUUCGUAGAUAUCAGGAGGAACACCAGUGGCGAAGGCGGCUUUCUGGACGGUAACUGACGCUG
rnacentral:rRNA from 1 species